GACGAACGCUGGCGGCGUGCUUAACACAUGCAAGUCGAACGGAAAGGCCCUGCUUUUGUGGGGUGCUCGAGUGGCGAACGGGUGAGUAACACGUGAGUAACCUGCCCUUGACUUUGGGAUAACUUCAGGAAACUGGGGCUAAUACCGGAUAGGAGCUCCUGCUGCAUGGUGGGGGUUGGAAAGUUUCGGCGGUUGGGGAUGGACUCGCGGCUUAUCAGCUUGUUGGUGGGGUAGUGGCUUACCAAGGCUUUGACGGGUAGCCGGCCUGAGAGGGUGACCGGGCACAUGGGGACUGAGAUACGGCGCAGACUCCUACGGGAGGCAGCAGUGGGGAAUAUUGCAGAAUGGGCGGAAGCCUGAUGCAGCAACGCCGCGUGCGGGAUGACGGCCUUCGGGUUGUAAACCGCUUUCGCCUGUGACGAAGCGUGAGUGACGGUAAUGGGUAAAGAAGCACCGGCUAACUACGUG
rnacentral:rRNA from 1 species